GUUACUCCUUCUCUGUUCUCAGACUUCUGCUGAGCCCAGUGGGGAAGUCGAAGCAGAAACUGGCAUCACUGCCUGGCUUGAACUCCAGGCCGACUCCACCUCCUGGCGUGGCUUCGACCUUGCCAUUUGACCUAGUGUGCUCUGCCCAUUAUCUGCCCCAGUGCGUUUCUCAUGAGGAUGCUGGACUGAAUUAGUAUUUGUCAUGUGUCUACAGGAAUGCCAGGCACGAGUGCUGGCUGGCUGCAGAGUGACAGCUGUUGAAGCUUGUGAGGUGUUAGUGAUGCUGUGGAGCGGGGCCGCUGACACUGCUCACCCUCCUGCAGAUGCUGAGCCUGAAAUGGUGUUCACUGGGCGCUGUAAUGGACACCAGUAUCUAUCUACAUUCUCAGUGGUGCAACAUUCGUCUGUUUCCUCCAGGUGGCCUGAGGUACCAUCUUGCUGCGUCCAGGGAUUCCUAGCCAGGCAUGUCCCCCGUCCGCCAGCUCCAGAAGUGAGGGCACUUCCCCUCAGAUGCAGGCCUGUCUUUCCUGCCCUCAGCUCCUGAAAUACUUUGCUCCUGACUGAAAGAGUAAUCGCUUGACCCCACCUGCUGCCUCAGGGCUCAGUUGUAAAGUUCUUGAGAACUCUCUUUGCCUUCUACCUCACCAGCAUCCUAGACGCUCACAGAUGACAGCAGGCUGCACGGUCCCCCUCUUUGGAGUUGUCAUCUUCUCAGUCAGCUGCAGAGUGGUCUUUGCAGGGGCUAGUGGGCCGCUCCACCUGUUGGGAGGGAUUCUUGGGCAGCCCUUAGAAAGGAUACAUCUAUCUAAGGAAAUCCCAGGACUGGAGUACAUUACACUGAAUAUUUAGAGGUGUAAAUAUUUAGAGGUGACAGGAAAGACAUCCAAAUGGCCAAAAGCUCAUGACAAGAGGUACAUUGUUAGUCACCAGGGAAGUGUCAAUCACCAGGGAAAUGUCAAUCAGAUCUAUGUGAGACCAACUCCACCUCUCAGACAGCUUGAUAAAAGCAGGGCAACAGCUAAUGUGGUGCGGGCAGGCGCCGCUGCAGGUGUGGGUGACGCUCGCAGUCACUGUGGAGAGGAAUACAGAUGAGCCACUGUGGAGAACAGUCUCCAGGCCUCGCACCCAAGCACGGACUUACGUAUGAACACUCUCCUGCAGUGCACCUCCGAGAGAACUGAAAAUGCAUUCCAUGCAAACCUUCCCUGUGUGUGCAGACAUUCAUGUUAGCAUUAUCAACAAUAGCCAAAACAAUAAAUAGUCCCGUACCUAUCAGAGGAUAAGCAGAGACAAAGGGUGCCGGCCAUGGUGGCACACACCUUUAAUCUCUGCUCAGGAGGCAGGUCUCUGUGAGUUCAAGGCCAACAUGGUUUACAUAGUGACUUCCAGGACAGUCAGGGCUACAUAAGGAGACUCUGCCUCAAAUAAAUAAAUAAAUAAACAAACAACAACUUAGUUUUAAAAAAUUAA